UACUUCUGUGACAGAUUCAAUCUCAAGCUGCACACUGCUGGGAUCAUUGCUGCCAGUUUCGGAUUGGCGAAUCUUUUCUCCAGGCCCGGUGGAGGGUUCAUAUCUGAUGCAGUUUCAAAGAGGUUUGGAAUGAGGGGUAGGCUCUGGGCCUUAUGGCUUUGCCAAACAUUCGCUGGUGUCCUCUGCAUAAUUCUUGGGCUUGUUGGAUCUUUGAGUGUUUCUGUUGUUGUUAUGAUCAUAUUCUCUGUGUUUGUUCUAGCUACUUGUGGCAUGACCUUUGGAAUUGUUCCUUUUGUCUCAAGACGAGUGUUCUUUUAGUCAAGUUCAGACUCAUUGACACAAAGAGG